rnacentral:rRNA from 1 species
GUUGACCUCGGAUCAGGUAGGAAUACCCGCUGAACUUAAGCAUAUCAAUAAGCGGAGGAAAAGAAACCAACAGGGAUUGCCUCAGUAACGGCGAGUGAAGCGGCAACAGCUCAAAUUUGAAAUCUGGCCUCACGGUCCGAGUUGUAAUUUGUAGAGGAUGUUUCGGGCACCGCCGCGGUGUAAAUUUCUUGGAACAGAAUGUCAGAGAGGGUGAGAAUCCCGUCUUCGACCGCGGUAGGACCCAUGUGAAACUCCUUCGACGAGUCGAGUUGUUUGGGAAUGCAGCUCAAAAUGGGUGGUAAAUUUCAUCUAAAGCUAAAUAUUGGCCAGAGACCGAUAGCGCACAAGUAGAGUGAUCGAAAGAUGAAAAGCACUUUGAAAAGAGAGUUAAACAGUAUGUGAAAUUGUUGAAAGGGAAGCGCUGGCAACCAGACUCGAGCGCGGUGGUUCCCCCCGGCUUCUGCCGGGGUUACUCCACCGUGACCGGGCCAUCAUCAGUUUUGGGGGUCGGUCAAAGGCGCCGGGAAUGUACCCACUCCUUCGGGGGUGGACUUAUAGCCCGGCGUGUCAUGCGACCUCCCGGGACUGAGGAACGCGCUUCGGCGAGGAUGAUGGCGUAAUGGUUGUCAGCGACCCGUCUUGAAACACGGACCAAGGAGUCUAACAUCUAUGCGAGUGUUCGGGUGUCAAACCCUUGCGCGUAAUGAAAGUGAACGGAGGUAGGAAGGCCUGAGCCUGCACUAUCGACCGAUCCUGAUGUCUUCGGAUGGAUUUGAGUAAGAGCAUAGCUGUUGGGACCCGAAAGAUGGUGAACUAUGCGUGAAUAGGGUGAAGCCAGAGGAAACUCUGGUGGAGGCUCGCAGCGGUUCUGACGUGCAAAUCGAUCGUCAAAUUUGCGUAUAGGGGCGAAAGACUAAUCGAA